rnacentral:rRNA from 1 species
CACGUAGGAGGCAAACGUUAUCCGGAUUUACUGGGCGUAAAGCGCGUGUAGGUGGUUCUGUAAGUAGGGCGUGAAAGCUCCCGGCUCAACUGGGAGAGGCCGUUCUAAACUGCAGAGCUAGAGGAUGGUAGAGGGAGGUGGAAUUCCAGGUGUAGCGGUGGAAUGCGCAGAUAUCUGGAGGAACACCAGUGGCGAAAGCGGCCUCCUGGACCAUUCCUGACACUCAGACGCGAAAGCUAGGGUAGCAAACGGGAUUAGAUACCCGGGUAGU